GGCACUUUGCCAGAGUGGUUAAUGGGUAGCACUCGAAUUCCUGUAGCUUACUACAGGAUAUAAUAGAUAUGCUAUGUCUUCGGACGCGCAGGUUCAAAUCCUGCAGGUGUCG